AGACGGUGGCCAGCUGCUCUUGGAACCGUCCCUCUCCAGCCCACCUCUUUGUACCAUGCUUCAGUGCAGGACACUCUCACCUCGAAUAUUGCAGCAGCCCCUUCCCUGGUCUCCCGUAGCGCCUACCCCGCACUGAGGCGUCCCUGGGGAAGGGAGAGGCCAGGCGGCUGGAGUCUGCUUCCUAUGGGGGCUGCCCCUGGUCUCCGGCCUUCUCCCUUCUCCUCUCCAGUCCUGCCCUCAUAGGUAGCGAGAGGGGUCGAGGGCCUUUAAGAAGCUUCCCGAGAUCUUCUGAAUCCUCAGCAAUCUCCUGCCCUGGCAUUCAAGGCCUGCCUGUCUAGGAUCCUGUCUCUGCAGCUCUGCCCACGUGACCGUAUCCUUGGAAGAAAAAAAAAAUGGGGAUGCACAAAGUGACCAGCACAGGGUAUUCGUGAUGACCGGGGAACAGAGAUUGAGAAAGCAAGAGCCUUCCUGGCAAAUCUGGGUUCAGACGCGGCAGAGACAGCUGUUUCCAGCCACUGCUAUGAACCCAUCUAAGUGAAAUUGUGAGGACUAAGGAGAGAGGCACCCAUGACUGCCUUAAUCCACUCCUACCCAUCGUCUCUUCACCCAUCCACCCAUCCUUGCUGCAGACCUUUACUGGGCACCUGUGCCAGGAGACCAUCACUGCCCAUCAGAAGCUCAUACAGGGAGAAGCAGUGGCCACAGCAGAAGGCGUCCCGGGUCCUAGAGAGCACCUGGAGAACAAGGGAGAGCUGCAGAAACCGCCCUGUCUGCAUGUGUGCCCUCAUGUUCUUGGGUGCAUGUCUGUGUUUGUGUGUGUGUUUGCUUAUGUGCAUGUGCAGUGUGUGUGUGUUCGAGACAGAGCGAGACUGAGAGUGCAAGUGGGUGUAAGCACACACACCCACCCGUCAGCCCUGCCUGUCUGCUCAGAGUUUUGCCUGUCACCCGGCCACGCCCUGUGACCCCCCUCCUCGGCUGGGUGCAGCCAGGACACCUGUUGCCAGCUGCGAGCACCUGCCUGGUUGCUGCGCCCGUGUCCUGUGCAUGUUCCAAGCCAGCCCCCUGGGGUAAUCCAGGCCAUGACUCAGGAACGUCAUGUUGGGACACCCGAGACCCCCAGCCCCUGCCCUAGGGGUCAGGGCAGCAGGUCCCAUCUCCCUUAGCUGGGCUGGGCCCAGGCAGCCUGUAUCACUGUUUGCUCCAGAGGCUGGGUGCGUCCUGCUUGGGGGCUGUGUGAGGCCCGCUUGUUUUCACCCACAGAUUCCCAGGGUUCUCAAGGCAGAGGAAAGCGACAAUUAGGGCAACACCCAUGUUGGUUGGAUCAGAGUGAAUCCCAGGCCUGCUUGGGAGGCUUUAGGCACUCAGCUCGGCCAUCUCUGAGGGUAAGGGCAUGUCAGCCACUCUGCUGGGGCAUCUCUGUGCUCAGCACCAUGUGGGCUCAUCACAGACACAAGAGUGCGUCCUCUCAGAGGGAAUGGUCUGGCAGGUUUUGCCUGUUUUCCUGCUCACAGGUUGAAUUUCUUGGCCAGCAUCCCAUAGCCAGGCCAGAGCGGAGCAGGGCUGCCUGCUGCACCCAGUGGCUUCUUGUCAAUCUCGGCCUCUCGUUCCCUGCCUGGGAGAGGGUCUCAGUGUGAAGGGCAGAGGGGUCUUCUGGAACCAGCCAGUGCUGUGUCGGAGAGAAAGACCAGGAGGAAAUUGGAGGGGUACAGGCCUGAAACUCUCCCGCUGCCUUGCCAGGCACCCAAACCUGCUUGACCUGAGUGUCUUUCCGGCGGCGGGUGGGGGGGAGGGGGGUGGGGCGUGCUGCAUCGCUUACUUUGCCUGUGUCUUAGGGGAGCCUACCCAUUGCCCUCCAGCACCGGCGAACAAAGACCCCCACGGUGGCCAGGCCUGUGCGGGGUGUAAACAGUGUCCCAGGGUGUCUUGGUGUCCUCACUACUACAUCCUCCACGUUCCAGAGGAGAAACUGAGGCCCGAGGACACCCAGAAUUUCCCAGGGUCACACCAAGGGGAAACAGGUGACGUUGAAGUGGACACAGGGUGAUGAGAGGGGUGCAGAAAAGGAGAUACCCUGGCAUGCCAAGCCUGGGGCUGGUUGUCCACAUCCAGGAAGGUCCCUGCAAGGUUGUGGCACCUUUUCAUGGCAAGCAGACGCAGCACCAUGAAUACCCACAGCCACUCCUAAGGGCCCCUUCAUGCGGUGGCUGUGCCCAGCACUGGGCACGCAGGAACCAAGGCCCAGAGAGUUCUGGGUGGGUGGGGAGAGCUAGAGCCUUCCUUCUGGGCUCCAGGGCUUUUCAGUAGCACCACUGGCUUUCUAGAAGGUUGCUGUGUGAUUGGAAACUUGUGCUUUGAGAUACGAUUAUCUGUGUGGGGAGGAGGUUGUACUGGAGUCAGCAGUGAGGGGUGGCAGCACUAGGCCAGAAAUGGAUGUGGGGUCCUCUUGCGUGGAGCUGCCACUCCCCCAGCCACUCUGUCCUUACAACCAAAACCCCAAAAGGGGGCUGAGCCGGCCCUUGUGAGUGAGAGUAGAGGAGAAGGAAGGGGCUGUGGGGGGAGAGAAGCACAUGGAGCUGGCCCACGUGGAGAGAGGGACCCUGGGUGGCAGGGUGGCGUUGGGGGAGAUUUGCCAUCAGAGUGACCUUAGUGACUGUGCCACCUCGACCCUGACCUGGGCAAUGCCUGUGAGGGCACUGGGGCCCAAGGUCCCAGAGGAGCAGGGGAACUAAGAUGUGGCUCUCACAGAACCUCAAAUGUAUCUCCAGACAUCCACAUAUCUGCACCUGACACACAUUUCUGGAACAGCUACUUGGCCAAGCACCACCAGUUUGUCUCUAUGCCCCUCUUGCUGGGGAGCCCAGUCUGGGGCAAAGGAAGGCACAGGGGCAUCCGCUCCAGGCUUUCCAGAAUAGGCAGAACACAGAAGGGGUGCCCGCCGGACACGCGGAGGGAGGAGAUGAGAAGAGUCCCCAGCGCCAGAAGGGGUGGAGACGGCCUUGCUGGGGCAGGGCCACAGGUCACCUGCUGCUGGGCUCUGGCUGCAGUGGGAAACAACCAAAGUUUUAAAAAGAGGGUGAACCUCUUAGGAAAGGAAAUGACAUUUAUAAAGAGGUAGGGACGUGGGGGCAGGGAUGAUGGCCUUGGUGGCCACAGCUCUUAAACCAGUGGGGAGGAGGCAGCCACGCCAGCAUGGUGAGAUCCAAGCCGCAGUGACGGGGCUGCACUCGCUCCAGGUAGAUUGCUCAAAUGGAAGCUUCUGGAUGGAUAACUAAGGCAGCACAACCCCCAGUCAUUGUCUGAGGGCCACCCUGGGGGAUGGAGCGAGUGCAGGCCAAGUGGAUGCAGGGCCCACGGCCAGUUUCCAGGGUGAGCUGCAGGGCAAGCCGUGGGAAGCCCCAGAGGCAGACGCUGAGGGAUGGGCACCCCAAGAGAGUCCAGGGAUCCGAGGCCACCUGGGUGGAGCCCGGACAGCGUCUACUCCAGGGAGCAAAGCUGAGGCAGGAGCCGAGGGCUUUCCAGUGGAUGUGGAGACUUCGGCUUACUCCCGCACUGACUUUAUCCCAUUUCUGAGCCUGUCGGCACGUGUAGAGCAUUUUGGGCUCAGUUUCUCUAGAGACUAACUGUGGCCUCCCAUGGGGUGGGGACAGGACAGUCUCCCGGCUGCAUGGAAUGGGAUGCCGACCGAGGGACGGGCUCUCUCUUAAAGACUUGCCACCACACCUCUCUUGUCCAUGCCAGGCUUCUGGGGUCCCCUCUGCUGCAGGUGCUUCGGGAGUCUCAGUGGUUCUUCAGGGCAAAGCUGGCCCUGACCGUGUGCUGCAUGCCCGGAGGUCUGACAUCGGUGCUGCUGAGUGGCCUGCCGUGGUUCUCUUGGUUUCCCAUCUUGCAAAGAGUCGGUGAACUCUCACCUGCUCUUGUCUCCUCGUCUCUGUGCCCUGUCCUCCUGCGGGGCUUGGGAAACCAUAGGUGAUAAACACAUGAGCCAAUCUGCCAUCUCCACUGGAGCCAAUGCUCUUUCUGUGUUCCCAUUGGCCUGCCUAGGACUGAGGUCAGCUCCAGGGUCAGAGGCAGGACUGGAGUUGGGUUCUAACUGAGGCAGAGACAGGGCUUGGGAGAAGAAAUCAAGGUGGAGGGCAGAGGCUCCAGGUCUUUGCCAGGCUCACCUCAGAAGUGGGUGUGUCAGGCUGUCCAGAGUGGAGUGCACAGAAGCUGGGGCUUUGACAAGGGCAGGGUGACCAGUCCAGGCUGGCCUCAAAGGCAAGAGCUUGACUGCAGGGCCAGCAGGCGUGUGAUGUGGGUGGGCCCUAAGGAGGCUGAGGGAGAGGAUAAACUGUGAAGAGCCAGCAGCCCAGAAGCUAAAUGCAGGGAGGCAGAGAAGACAGGAGAGAUGGAGGCUUGCAGGACCUGGUGGUUGGGGAGGGCCAGUGACCAGGUGUUUAGAAGCAGCACCUCCUGUGAUUGGGGCUGAGGGUGAACUCUGCUUUCAAGCAGAGGUGGUUUGUCGUGGGUCUUCCAUGAUGACACCAGGUCAAGGUAGGCUGUUAGCACUGAGGCCUGUGGGAAGGCGAGGCCCGUGGGCAGAGUCCCAGAAUGGGAGGAAAAUGAAGACAGCCACUGCAGGGACUUGGGUGUCAUUCUGAAGGAAGCCACUUAAUGGUAAAUGGAGCAACAACAUGGUAGCCUUUCCUCUGGGGGAGCCCAGAGACAAGGGGGGUCUGGGGAGGCAGGCAGGCAGGCAGGCAGGUCAGGCCAGGGAGGGGCUGUGCCCAGCAGGGAAUGGAUGGCACACUCCCUCCCAGAAAGGCUGCUGCAGGGCUCAGCACUCUGAACCUUAAAAGGUUUACCCAACAGAGCCUCCAGAUGCUCAGAGUCUUGCAGGCUCAGAACAAGAAUUGUCAACUUGCCAAGAUGAAUCUGUCUCUCGGGGGAGGACCCACACAGAACAAACGUUUGAAGCAGAAGUUUGCUUGGUAAACAUGGAAUCGGAACAUGGGAAUUGGGCCACUGGGAUAUUCAAUUGCGUCAGACCAUUGUAGCUGAUACUCCUGGACAGAGGGGCUUUGCCAACUGGACAGAUAUAUGAAGUGUUGCUGACCGAGCUCCUUGCUCUGUGUGGGAGGGAUCUUGCCAGCUCCAGCCUUGGUGGGUCUCCUUUUUCUGUUUCCAAGCUUAAAUAAGCACUUGGCUGUUCUGAUUAGCACUUUUAAAAGCUGUGUUAAUAAGUUCAAUUAAAAUAGAAGAAUCUCU